rnacentral:rRNA from 1 species
GCGGUUUAAUUGGACUCAACGCCGGACAUCUCACCAGCCCCGACAUCAGUAAUGACAGUCAUGUUGACGACAUCCGCCCGAGCUGAUGAGAGGAGGUGCAUGGCCGCCGUCAGCUCGUACCGUGAGGCAUCCUGUUAAGUCAGGCAACGAGCGAGAUCCACAUCCCUAAUUGCCAGCACCAUCGCACGAUGGGUGGGUACAUUAGGGAGACUGCCAGUGCUAAACUGGAGGAAGGAAUGGGCAACGGUAGGUCAGUAUGCCCCGAAUGGGCUGGGCAACACGCGGGCUACAAUGGCGAGGACAACGGGUUCCAACACUGAAAAGUGACGGUAAUCUCGCAAACCUCGUCGUAGUUCGGAUUGCGGGCUGAAACUCGCCCGCAUGAAGCUGGAUUCGGUAGUAAUCGCGUUUCAGAAGAGCGCGGUGAAUACGUCCCUGCUCCUUGCACACACCGCCCGUCAAAGCACCCGAGUGAGGUCCGGAUGAGGCCACAUCACUGUGGUCGAAUCUGGGCUUCGCAAGGGGGCUUAAGUCGUAACAAGGUAACCG